rnacentral:rRNA from 1 species
CAGAAUCCCGCCUAGACGUAACGAUACCGUAGCGCCGCGGAUCUUCGAGUGGUCCAGGAUAGCCGGCCCGCGUGGGUCGGUGGGCAGAGCCGUUCGUGACGGGGCCGGGGCGCGGCCAACAAGGGUCGCCCCUCUCCCAUCUCGCAACUCAUGUUUGUGGAGAACCUGGUGCUAAAUCACUUGCAGACGACCUGAUUCUGGGUCAGGGUUUCGUACGUAGCAGAGCAGCUCCUUCGNUGCGAUCU